GUUGACCAAAAGUGGAAUGUUUAAUACUCCACAGAAAAAAAAAAAAAGAACCAUGGAAUUCUGAGUCCCACCUGUUAAAUUAUUUGUCCUUCUAAUAGAAGCAGGAAUGAAAGGCGUAUGUUCAACAUCAUUUUGGACCCAUUUUCUGUGGCGGGAAACCAAGGUCCUGCACUAGGCAUUGCAGAUAUGAAGAUGAACUGGAUACAGAGCCCGAUUUCAGGGAGUCACAAGAGUGUGUGCUUAGUGCUGUGAGAGAGAACUUCCCCCUAGACAAAGGACAUCUAGACCAGCCUGGAGGGAGCAGACCCUGUUAAUAUCUCUGAGCUCAUUGCUUUUCUGGAAGAACAUGUUCCGAGUUCCAAUUUGGGAUGAUUCAAAACCUACGUCUGCCCCAGGCUUGAGGCGCCUGGGAUGGGUCACACCCUUUGCCUCCUCUCUCUGGAUGGCAUUUCUAAGUCACACCAGGGGCUCUGGGCAUUGAGGCUUGGGAUACCCAUCUCCUGAGCCCUUCUUCCUGGGAAGAUGCCAGGGGCCAAAGCCAGGUGGACGCCAGCUCAGCCUCUACACUCUCAGUCCCAACUGGGUGUGAUCACUGCAGAGCUCCUCUGGGGUGGAGAGAAAGAAGAAAUAAAAGAGCCCUUCUUUAUAUAAAAUUGGAUUUUAACAUUCUCCAAAGUGGUGGCAGCCCCUGGAUUGCAAAUGAAAAGCACCCAGUUUUCCCAGAGAAUAAUCUGGAAGAGGGAAGUGGAGGUGAAUGGCCUCCUUCUGUAAUGGUAAGAACUUCUCCCCAGCCACCUCCAGAAGACAGAGAGAGGCAUCUGGGGGUCGGGGAUGUGAGUUGGCAAGAAGCUGGGAGACGUGACAGCCAGAGAGAUUGGGAGCGGAGACGUGCACCGCCCGGCGCCCUUCACUCAUGUCCUCCCUGGCCUGGGGCUCGGCAAGGCUCCUGCUGUUCCUUCCAUCUUCUCCAAGUGCUGAGAAUGAGGCGAAAGAGGAAGCAAUAGGGUAAAAAGAUACUGAGGACCUCCAAACUCAGAAGUGUUUGUUGAUUGAUUCAUUCAUCAUUCAGAAAGAGCGAGUACCUACUGCACGUCAAACCCACAGCCAAGGCUGGAGGUGCAGAGAUAAAUGAUUCACAGUUGGUGUCUCCAAGAAGCUCCCAGUCUAAGGACCCAAGAAGAAGCUGCAUCUCGCCAAGAGUCUUGGAAUUCUGGCUACAUUCGUAUUUGGGCUUCCUUACUCAUUGUUGAUUUACUGCAUCAAUCUUUUCCAAUGGAUUGGGAGCAUCAAUAUUUUGUAAGAUGAUAGAAAUUGAUAUAACCUGUGUAACCGAGAGGAUUGAAUUAGGUAGAAUCUCUGCCUCAGGGCGGGGCCUGGAGUGAGCCAAGCAAGAUGCUUAUGAGACAAAAUCUAUGGAGGUGUCAUUUUUAAGGUCAUGCUAGUGCAGGGUCUGCCUAAUAUUGGGUUGACAGACUUUGUGCAAGUCAUUUAAACUCCAUGAACUUCAGCUUCCCAUCUGUAAAUCAGGGACAUGCCUACUCAUGGAGCUGUUGAAAAAUUAAUAAUAUAAUGCUUGCAAAAGUGCGUUAUAAACUAUAAAUGGCAUAUAAACACGUGUUGGUUUUAUCAAUAGUAGUAAUAAUAAUUAUUUAUGAUCUUUUUCAUUAAUUCAUCAAUGACAUUAAAAAUAACCAUAACCAAAACAUUCUUUGUGGCAAAUGCAACACAUUAUACUGGAAAAUGGAAUAGAGAAACGGAAGGAUCUGGUAUGCUUUGUAAGAGGCGGUAGUUAAGUAAUGAAAGAUUUUGAGCUGUGAACUCAGACAGACUUGGAUUUUAAUCCCAGCUCUAUCACUUACAAAUGUUUAACCUAAACUCUGAAGUCUCCAUUUCCUCAUUUGUGAAAGGGGAAUAAUAAUAAUGGACUCAUAGGGUUGUUACUGAGGAUUAAAUGAGAUAAUGUGUGUAAUACUCAGCAUUUUGCAGGCCCGUAGAGAGCACUACAUAGAUGUGAGCUACUAUCGUUGUGUGGGGACCCCAGCACAACCAAUUCCUCCUACAGGCCAGAAUGUCUUCUGAGAUACUAAGCUUUUUCCAGUUUCCUUAGCUGAGGUCAUAUUACACAAUGCUAAGUCGCAAAGAUGCUUUUCCUACAGGCUUGAUUUUAGGAAUAAUUAUACUAAAUGUUGUUCCUUCUUUCCUAAGUUUCUCCAGAAUUAUAGCUGUGGUGUAAGUACCCAAGAGU
ensembl:lncRNA